rnacentral:rRNA from 1 species
UAAGCCUGUGAAGGUGUGUCGUGAGGCAUGCUGGAGGUAUCAGAAGUGCGAAUGCUGACAUAAGUAACGAUAAAGCGGGUGAAAAGCCCGCUCGCCGGAAGACCAAGGGUUCCUGUCCAACGUUAAUCGGGGCAGGGUGAGUCGACCCCUAAGGCGAGGCCGAAAGGCGUAGUCGAUGGGAAACGGGUUAAUAUUCCCGUACUUGGUGUUACUGCGAAGGGGGGACGGAGAAGGCUAUGUUGGCCGGGCGACGGUUGUCCCGGUUUAAGCGUGUAGGUGUGUGUUCCAGGUAAAUCCGGUUCACUUUAACACUGAGGCGUGACGACGAGGCACUACGGUGCUGAAGCAACAAAUGCCCUGCUUCCAGGAAAAGCCUCUAAGCAUCAGGUAACAUCAAAUCGUACCCCAAACCGACACAGGUGGUCAGGUAGAGAAUACCAAGGCGCUUGAGAGAACUCGGGUGAAGGAACUAGGCAAAAUGGUGCCGUAACUUCGGGAGAAGGCACGCUGACACGUAGGUGAAGUGAUUUACUCAUGGAGCUGAAGUCAGUCGAAGAUACCAGCUGGCUGCAACUGUUUAUUAAAAACACAGCACUGUGCAAACACGAAAGUGGACGUAUACGGUGUGACGCCUGCCCGGUGCCGGAAGGUUAAUUGAUGGGGUCAGCGCAAGCGAAGCUCCUGAUCGAAGCCCCGGUAAACGGCGGCCGUAACUAUAACGGUCCUAAGGUAGCGAAAUUCCUUGUCGGGUAAGUUCCGACCUGCACGAAUGGCGUAAUGAUGGCCAGGCUGUCUCCACCCGAGACUCAGUGAAAUUGAACUCGCUGUGAAGAUGCAGUGUACCCGCGGCAAGACGGAAAGACCCCGUGAACCUUUACUAUAGCUUGACACUGAACAUUGAGCCUUGAUGUGUAGGAUAGGUGGGAGGCUUUGAAGUGUGGACGCCAGUCUGCAUGGAGCCGACCUUGAAAUACCACCCUUUAAUGUUUGAUGUUCUAACGUGGACCCGUGAUCCGGGUUGCGGACAGUGUCUGGUGGGUAGUUUGACUGGGGCGGUCUCCUCCUAAAGAGUAACGGAGGAGCACGAAGGUUGGCUAAUCCUGGUCGGACAUCAGGAGGUUAGUGCAAUGGCAUAAGCCAGCUUGACUGCGAGCGUGACGGCGCGAGCAGGUGCGAAAGCAGGUCAUAGUGAUCCGGUGGUUCUGAAUGGAAGGGCCAUCGCUCAACGGAUAAAAGGUACUCCGGGGAUAACAGGCUGAUACCGCCCAAGAGUUCAUAUCGACGGCGGUGUUUGGCACCUCGAUGUCGGCUCA